AGAAUUCAAAUACAUGUUUAAGCGUCCAACCUAUUAUAAUGGUUGCUUCGUACUUAAUAGCAUAACUAAACAUCCAAGUUAAGAUAAUCUUAAUACUAAAAAAAGGUUCAUCAUUCUCCCCAUGAGAGCUAAACACACAUGCUAAUAAAAACUUAAUAAAGGCAGAUGCCAAUUUCACCAAUCAUCUUCGUCUGAACAAGAAUACACUCUUGGCUCGUAGAACAGGCGUUUUAAGAUAUCCCAGUUUGCCUCUCCCUCUUCCAUGUAACAUAACGCGCUUGGAUUUUCCUUAUCGAAAUAAAAUUACAAAACUUUAAUAUAGGUAUUUAAAAAAUAAUAAUAAGUAAGUAAUUUUGAAAAAAUUACUUACGAUUUCAAUUUGACUCCAUGAUAUAUCUGUGCAAAACACUCGCUUACUCUCUUCACAAUACCAAGUUCGAUCAUCCUUCAACAAUGCAUUGAAUCGAACAUAUCGGAACCACCACUCCAUAACUUUCUCAUGAUACUUGUGCUUUGGAAUUUGCAAUAAGUAAG
rnacentral:lncRNA from 1 species